GGUCUAGUGGCAGUGGGGCUGGCUCGGCGGAUCCCUGUCAGUCACUUUGCUCUCGUACUAAGUGUACUUUUGUGCCAUUUAAGCAGCCGAUGGUGUCAUUGGCGUUGAGAGUGCAGCUUCUACAGCUCACACUGAAGGCUUUGGGGACCCAGGAGGGCGCGAGUUGUUUUAAGAUACAUGGCCAUUUGACAUACCCGUGUUAAGUUCAAUCUUGCUACAAAAGAAGGCCAUUUGUACUUCCUGACCCUGAAAGCAAGAACUGUGUCUCUUUAAAUCUACUGAGGAAGAUAUUCCUUCUGGCCCACAGGAUGCCAAAAUGACUCGAUGAUUUAUUUAUGCAGCGCUUGGCAGCCCAUCGUCCAGAUUGUGGCUGAAGCUGAAUUUUAUGAGCCUUCCCCCAAAAAACUGGAAGAUUUUGCCAUCUUACAAGCCCUCUUCCUUAAGAAAGAGAAAGAUGAGCAGUAAAUAUCCUCUGGCACGUCGGCACAUUCUGUCUCUUCGUGUUUUCAUGAAGUGUUCAUGACAUGGGAUUGAAGUACUCCUUUGUGUUCAGUAUUUGAUAUCAAAUCCUUUACAAGCAAGAAACAGAACGGAAAUGGAGAGGAGAGCCCAGCAUGACUUGCGCCGUGCCAAAGGAAUACGUGCAGAAACGUCUACUCUUGAGCCUUCCAGUGGCCACUGGUACCUUUGGACCUUGAGCUGGAGCUGCAGCCUAGAGUUAUUAUUUAGCUUUGCCCUUUGUCUUUGAGAAAUAUCUUGAAAGAGCCAGGUUGGUCCAGACCUGCUGGCAAGCCUGCAGCCCCAUCCACCGAUUACCUAAUACACUUGUGACAUCUGCUUUCCUUGUUGUGAGAAAACACAGGGAGGAAGUGUGUGCAGAAGGGGUGAUGCCUGACCUACACACCCGGCAAUACCAGAAGUUUCACUACCUUCCGUUGGUAAACGCUUCAGGGAAGGCUCUGCAACCCUGAACGUGUUUUAUUGUAGAACCUCACUAGGAAACUCAUCAGUAUUUAUUAAAGAUGAAUUAAAAGAAGGAGGAAAAGGAAAAACGGGAUAGUGAAGAGAAUAGAUGAAUGAAAAAGAAGCAAAGGGAAGAGAGGAGGAAGGGACAAAGAGGGCAAGAAAAGAGAAAAGAGAGAUGAGAGACCAGGACU
rnacentral:lncRNA from 1 species